AGAGAUAGGAGGAUUGAGAUUUGAGAUCAGGAAUUAAGAGAGAGGGCCUAUCGGUGAUGGGGAUGACCGUGAAACUGCCUUCUUCAGGCGACGACGAUGAUGUUUGAUGAACACCUAUUACUACCAUCGCCUAAAUAAAACUUUAGAGGUUCUACUUAUUUUGAUAUCCGUUGAUUGAAGGUAAUUAUUUUCACCCACUUUAUAUCUUCAUCUAGAGUAAACCGGACACUUUCAUUGCAGACCUGUUGACCUGGCCGGAAACCCCCCCCCCCCCCCCCCCCCCGCUGAUUCGCCGACGACCAGUGCUGCUUCUUGCUCCGCUCUCGAUCUCACAAGAUUGAAAGGUCGAACGACGUUAUCAAGGAGCUCGUUAGGGAAAAGGAAGAAGAGAAAGACAGGUUUAAGGAAUUAUAGCGGAGUUCGAUGGCUGAACAGAAAAAAAAAAGGAUGAAGUGGAGAAAGAUGUUAUGCUCAAUAGGAUAACGAACAUUGAAGCUAUGUUAAAAAUGUGGCUUGAAGAUAGCUAUGAACACUUUAUUUUGAU